CCCAAACUCCCACCCCACACCCGGGACCAAGGCCCCGGCACUGCCCCGAACGCCCCACCAGGGACCCAGGCCCCAGCCCUGUCCCGAACUCCCGCCCCACACCUGAGACGAAGGUCCCGGCCCCGAAGUCCCAACCCCACACCCGGGACCAAGGCCCCGGCACUGCCCCGAACCCCCGCCCCACACCCCUAACCAAGGCCUCGGCUCAGCCCCGGAAUCCCCAACCCCACACCUGGGAUCAAGGCCCCGGCCCUUCCCCAAACCCCCAACCCACACCCGGGACCAAAAGGCCCCGGCCCCACGUUUCCUAGAGGCGCUGGGUUCGGGCCCACGUUGCAACGAGUCAGAUGCUCUUGGUAGCUCAGGGAGGUGUUCACACUCCUGCCGUUUCCGUGAGGAUGGUGACGACUCCGAACUAUAGCAGCAUACUCUACCUACCCCUGAUCAGUUUAUGGAAGAAAAGGAAACCAAACAAAUGGUUUUGCCGUUGUUACUGCUCACCUGGUUUGAUUCAGUGGCGUCGCGGUUGGUCUCUGCUACAGUCCAUUACUCACAGUGCCAGCACAUGUUUCCUUAAAAAGCUUCAUCACCAUCCUCCUGCAAUGCGACCUUCACCGGCUCCCCGUUGCCUGCCCAGGAGGAUAAAGUCCAAGUUCUCCUGUGGAAAGAAG
rnacentral:lncRNA from 1 species